rnacentral:rRNA from 1 species
GACGAACGCUGGCGGCGUGCUUAACACAUGCAAGUCGAACGGAAAGGCCCUGCUCUUGCGGGGUUCUCGAUUGCCGCACGGGUGUGUAUCACGUGUGUAACCUGCCCUUGUCUUUCGGAUAACUUCUGGAAACUGCGGCUAAUACCGGAUAGGAUCUCUUGCUCCGUGGUGGGGAUUGGAAAGUUUCGGCGGUUGGGGAUGGUCUCGCGGCUUAUCAGCUUGUUGGUGUGGUAGUGGCUUACCCGGGCUGUGAAGGAUAGCCGGCCUGAGAGGGUGACCGGGCACAUGGGGACUGAGAGAGGGCCCAGACGCCAACGGGAGGCAGCAGGGGAGAAUAUGGCAGAAUGGGCGGAAGCCUGAUGCAGCAACGUCGCGUGCGGGAUGACGUCCUUCGGGUUGUAAACCGCUUUCGCCUGAGACAAAGCGGGAGUGACGGUAAUGGGUAAAGAAGCACCGGCUAACUACGUG